rnacentral:lncRNA from 1 species
UGUAACAAUUGGCUCCUUCAAGCCAGUUCAGUUGGUGCCAGCACACCAACUGGGGGAUGCUGUCACCAACGCUGAAGCUGGAGGAUGGAGCACAGGAAGGCGUGAGUGCAGGGUUGAAUUCUUCAGGAAUACGUCUUGGGAAGCAAGAGAUGAUAUCGCGACAGUUAAAAGGAAGAGGCAUGAACUUCAGUGUUGAUAAGUGCUCUUCUGGUAACACAGACCAGAUUUCUAGAUGUCCUACUGGCAGCCGACCUUUUCUCGUGAACUCCAGUCAGUGGCCAAGGGAGAGGAGCAUCAGUGCUUUAAAAUCUCUUUUCUAUGCCUGAAGCAAACAUUUUACAACAUUUCUCCUUGAUACGAAAUCUCUGCUUGGACAUCUGGCUUCACAGUGAGGAACUUUCAAUACACUAGCUUCAAAGAAAGGGCUUGGCCCUGCUGGUGCAGUGAUGCCAGAAGAAUGUUCCACCGUCUUUCUACAGAACUAUUUCUAACAAUUCCCCCCAAUGAACUUCUGAGAGUCCAGUGGAGAGAGUUAACUAACAGACAGCUCGGCUUUGGUGUGCGCCUGAUGGGCCCUUGCUGAGCUCAGAAAUGAGGGAUAAACAAGGUGGAGGACGUUUUCUUAGAAUCUGCCCACGAAGUCCCUGUUACCAGCAGAUCGGCGUUAGCUUCGCAGUCUGCUGCGCCAUCGCAAAGCCUUCACAGGCAUGCUGCCGUCAAGAAACUAACAGGAGAGGGAAGGGACAUGAUUGGUUUCCAGAGCCUUCAUGUAUGAGAUAACAGCAUUCAUUUAUUCAGCAUAUUUCUAGAACUUCCAGUGACCCAAACUCCGAGGGCAGCGCUUGCUCUCAGGAAGCUUAGAGUCUGCUGGAAGGACAUUCAUCCAAACAGAGGCUCAGCAUCUCCUCUUUGCAACGGGAAAACCCUCUCUUAAAAUCACAGAUUAUUUCGGGAAGGGUGUGGUUAUCUUGUGAGGCCACAGUCCUGACUGACGUCGUGAGGGUGUUUGCAGUUUCUCUUUGUCCCCUUCGGGGGAUAUCCGCGUGUCUCACUAUGCACUGUGUCUGGCGCAGCGUGUUGUCCCAGAACCACCUGGAGAUGAAGUACAAGCUCUAUGUCACCUCCCUAGAGCCUGAAGCGCCUGAGCAGCAAAACACACUCAAGCUCAAGGUUUUGGAUAAAGGAAAAACUUGGGGACCGGCAUUACAGUGUGGCGAAAACUUCACUGGAUAAAGGAACAAAGCUGGCACGAGCUUCUCUCUGACACUCCACAAUCUUAAAGGGAAAGGACUCUAUGUAGGGAGCCUGUGCCGUCACCAGAGAGCGUGAUGGUUGAGGGCGAGCUGUUGAUACGGUGGUGAGAAGGGCAACAUCUAGACAAGUGGUUCUCAAAGGUUUUGGUCUAUUCUUUAACAAUAAAGAAUCCCAAAAAGGUCUUAUUUAUGUAGGUUCCAUCAGUAUUCACCAUAUUAGAAAUUAAAAUAAAGAAAUAUUAAAAUACUUAUUAACUCAUUAAAAAUAACAGAAACCCAUUAUGUGUGACAUAAAUAUGCUUUUUAAAUAAAAAAUAAACUUCUUUUCAAAGCAAAAAAAAAAAAUAGCAAGAAGUGUUUCAUAGUUUUGCAAAUCUUUUUACUGCCUGGCUUAACAGAAGGCAGCUAGAUUCUCAUACCUGCUUCUGCAUUCCAUGUCUUGCAAUGUGUUGCUUUGGUUGAAGUAUAAGAAAACAAUCCAGUGUCACACAGAUAAGCAGCUGGAGAGGGAGGGGUCUUUUAGAAACCUUUUCAGGUGACUGUGGAUAUUCCUAGUGACUACAGCAAAAAUUAGCAAGUAGCAGUUUCUUUAAAAAGUUGCAAUGCAGAAUCGGAAACUCUACACCUUCAUAUACUAUUUUAAUGUUACAUUAAAAUUCGUUAGUCAUAGUUCCCGUUGUGGCUCAGUGGUUAACGAAUCCAACAAGGAACCAUGAAGUUUCGGGUUCGAUCCCUGGCCCUGCUUAGUGGGUUAAGGAUCUGGUGCUGCCAUGAGCUGUGGUGUAGGUCGCAGACGUGUUUCGGAUCCUGUGUUGCUGUGGCUGUGGUGUAGGCUGGCAGCUGUAGCUCUGAUUAGACCCCUAGCCUGGGAACCUCCACAUGCCGAGGGUGUGGGCCUAGAAAAGAAAAAAAAAAAAGAAAAAUUGUUUAGUUUGUUUUGUAUUUUGAAUGGAUCUUUCACCUAUGCCUGAUUUUGCAACAUCCAGGUGUUGGUUGUUUGGAAAACACUGGUUCGGUGAGUUACAAAAAUCUUCCAAAUGUUGAUACGCUUCAUUAAUUCUUCCCUGUUUCUUCCCAUGCACAUCAUUAGGAAUAUCACCGAUCAGAAAAGUCUUUAAGUGCUAGCAAGCUGUCAAGCUUACAGCGAGGGUAUGAAUUUUCCAAAUUCCUGAUUUUUGCUUGAAAGCUCAAGUUUUAUUGUUAGCAACAACUCAGUCGGUUGUUGUCCUUGAAGUGUCAGGCUUACUUCCUUCACUUUCAAGAGAAUCUCUGCCAGACAGUCAAACCGGAAGACACGUAGUUAGCCUGUCAAUCCUUCUUUCCAAGUGACUGGAGCUCAGCUCACACUCAAGCAAAUGCAGAAUGGCUUUUCCUUGACACAACCACACUGCUUCAUUGUGCAGCACCAGUGCUUUAAGUGUACUUCUGAUGGAUAGUAAAAAGAUGUAUGUACUCCCAAGGAUUGAGAUUUAAUAAAAUUAAUACUAUUUAUUGUUCCAGUUUUCUUUUUCUUUUUUGGCCACACCCGUGGUAUAUGGAAGUUCCAGGGGCCAGGGAUCGAAUCUGAGCUGCAGCUCUGACCUACAGCACAGCUGUGGCAAUGCAGGAUCCUCAAUCCACUGUGCCACAGCGGGAACUCCAUUUCACUUUUAUUUUAA